AUGCAGCUGUUCAACGAUUGCAUCGCUGAGCUCGGCCUCCGCGAGCUAGAGCAGACGGGUGCCAGGUUCACCAGGACAAACCGUCAAGCGGACCCGACGCGAUCCGUCCUGGAUCGCGUCCUAGUUUCACCGGAAUGGGAACUUAGGUGCCCCUUGGCCUCGCUGCCGGCGAUCACCCAGAUCGGGUCCGCCCACGUCCCUCUCCUCCUCUCCACCGCCGACGAGCGCCCCCUCAUCCCGCCGCGGUUUCGGUUUGAGCUCUUUUGGCUCAACCAGGCGGGAUUCCUCGAGGCGGUCGCGGCUAAGUGGAUCGCCGCGCGCUCAUCUCCCCACCGCUCCAUGUCCGCCGUUGACUCGUGGCAGUUUUGUGCCAAGCUCGCUCGCCAAUGUAUGAAGGGGUGGGGCACGAACCUUGGCCGAGACCUCCGCGAACGCAAGAAAGCCCUCCUGACUGCCAUCCAAGCCCUGGACACCCGCGCUGACACUUCCGGGAUCUCCCUGGAUGAGUGGAUGCUGAGAUAUGAUCUCGAGGAUCAGCUCUCGACCAUCUACACGGACGAAGAAGCAUACUGGAGGCUCCGCGACACCCAACGGUGGGUGCUCCGUGGAGACGCUAAUACGGCUUACUUCCAGGCGAUCGCCAAUGGAAGGCGACGAUGGAACUCCAUCCAUUGCUUGUGGGAUGGAGAUUCCCAGCUCGUCCGUCCCUCGGACAUCCGAGUCCACAUAGAUGGCUUUUAUAAAGCCCUAUUUCCCCCCACCCCUCGGGGUGGGGCCACACUAGCCCCCGACACUUGGUCGGCUAACCAGUUAGUGUCCGACGAGGCAAAUGUUGCCUUUCUCUGA
rnacentral:rRNA from 1 species